UUUUUGGCCCUACGAAAUUCA
ensembl:piRNA 21ur-5854 ncRNA